rnacentral:lncRNA from 1 species
UCUUAACUCACUUGCCUAUUUUUUGAAAAAGUUUAGACCCCAUGAGUUAUAUUACUGACAUGUCGUUGUCAACCAAUAAAAUUGUCCCUUUAGAAUUCAUCCGUCUCUUUAUAAUUAAUAAAAAAAAUAAUUUUAUCAUACUUUUUUAUAAGAAAAGGUGAUAUAAUUAUUAGCUUAUUACUAAUGAUGUGGUGUAAGUGUGACACUAUAAACUUCCUCCUAUCUCGUCCAACAAAAAUAAAAAUAAUUACUAAGAUAUGCAAUGCUUAAAAUAGAAAGU